rnacentral:rRNA from 1 species
UACGUAGGGAGCAAGCGUUGUCCGGAAUCAUUGGGCGUAAAGCGCGCGUAGGUGGCCCAUAAGUCCGCUGUGAAAGUCCAAAGGCUCAACCUUUGAAAGCCGGUGGAUACUGUGGGACUAGAGUACGGAAGAGGGCGAGUGGGAAUUCCUGGUGUAGACGGUGGAAUGCGCAGAUAUCAGGAGGAACACCAAUAGCGAAGGCAGCUCGCUGGGACGUUACUGACACUGAGGCGCGAAGCGUG